GGGAACAGCCCACCUCCUUCCUUUCGUCAAAAUAGCCUUGAUUAUUUGUUUCCCUUGUUUUCCUCUUGAUCACAGUAUCUGUUUAAAGUCACGCAACCGUCGGGAGAAUGUGUCAUUACCAUGAGUGCCUUAUUUCUUGAUAAAAGACUUGUGAAAUAUUUGUAAUCAUAAAUGGCUACACGUCACGAGUCCUUAUCACUGCAAGUGAUAACAUCACCGUUCCUUCGCAAUGUCGAAGCGGUCAAUGAUGGCAGUGCAUCAGGUGUGGAAAGACGUAUGUUUCGAAAAAGUCUUGAAAGGCUUGAACGGAUCAACAUGAUUGAUUUAGAACCCUUUAGUUCUGAAUCAUAUCAGACCUCUGAUCAGGGUCCUAAUGGAGAUGGAAAGCAGUCAAAGCGUCAAAACAGGUUAAGUAGAGAGAUCCUUGGAGUUGAUGAUGCAGUGUUGUCCGCCCCUGAUAUUGCCCAGUUACAAUCUCAGGAAAAUCGCCUUCUCAAGAACCAAUUGUCUAUGAACGGUUCGUUAAAUCAAACAGAUGUGGAUGAUGAUGCCAGUAGUGUGGUUUUCGGUGGAUCAAUAGCGUCAACGGUCCCAGACAAGUACGGUUUCUUUGGAGGAUCUCAGUUCAGUCAUGAUACUGAUGUAAACCCAGCGAUGGUUGCAAUUUUUCGCAAAAGAGAACAAAAGUGGUUAAACAUGCUAGAUGACUGGGAAAAGUAUAUGACCUACAAAUAUAAAAAGGUGAGAGACAGGUGCAGAAAAGGAAUACCCAGCUCGAUCCGUCCUAGAGCAUGGCAGUAUCUCUGCGGUGGUGGUGUCCUCAUGGAAAAGAACAAAGGUGUUUUCGACGAGCUCCUCACCCAGCCUGGAGAUCCCAAAUGGCUUGAUGAUAUACGCAAAGAUUUGCAUAGGCAGUUUCCUAUGCACGAGAUGUUUGCCGAUUCCAAUGGACCCGGCCAAGUGGAAUUAUUUCGGGUGCUAAAGGCUUACACCAUCUUGAACCCUGUAGAUGGUUACUUCCAAGGACAAGCCCCUGUUGCGGCUAUGCUCGUCAUGCAUAUGCCAGCUGAAGAGGCAUUUUGGUGCUUGGUGGCUAUCUGUGAGCGCUAUCUUCCUGGCUACUACAGCCAAGGACUGGAAGCAGUCCAAAUUGAUGGUGAUGUCCUUGUUGCCCUUCUAAGAAAAGUAUCACCGUCCGUCCAUCGCCAUUUGACGAAACAAAAAUUAGACCCCGUGCUUUUCAUGAUGGAAUGGUUCAUGUGUAUCUACACUCGCACGCUUCCUUGGUCCUCCGUGCUCCGCGUUUGGGACAUGUUCUUUUGUGAGGGGGUGAAAGUGCUCUUCCGGGUUGGACUGGUCAUCUUAAAGUACAGUUUUAUGAAACCCAAGACGAUGAAGGAAUGUCCGACAAUGUACGAAUCUAUGGAAGUAUUACGUAACCUCCAUCUCAGCGUCACUGAAGAAAACGUCCUCGUUGCUCGCAUGCUGAAACUGCCGAUCACUGAAGAUGACAUGGAAAGAGUACACAGGAAAGUAGUCGAAUUAAGGAAAAAAGCUGCUUCUUCUUCAACGCAAUGCAGUUAAUUGCUACGCCUUAUUCCCCCUCCUCGAAGAGACAGAUUAUAUAUGAGAGAAGAUCUUGGUUAUUUUUUUUUCUUUUUGUUAUUUACGACGUGGUUGGACCAUUCGAUUCCCCCUCCCUUCCAGCGAUGUGUUUCCAGUCGGUGCUUUAUAUUAAAAAAAUCCUAUGUCGAUAGAAAAAAAAACAAAAGAUUUUCACAUUUUGUUUUUAAAUUUAUAUAGAUAAGAUGUCAUAUAUUUGAUCUGUUCGUA